AAAAUAAUGGGAGAAGGAAUUGUAAUGAAAGCUGUCAGAAUAAUUCUAAAUAUCACUAACAAGCAUAUCUAAUAUUUCAGAAAUGUUAACUUUUCUUGAUUUUUUUCCCCCCAUUACAGUGUGUUCUUAACACUUUUUUUUGCAGAUUAUAUGAGACAUUUGCAGCCAGUAGAUGAACAUUUACACAUACUGUUACUCCUUCUGAGCUGUAUAAUGACAAAGCCCAUACCAUUUCUCAAAAGGUUCACAGGAGUUGAAGGCUGAGAUUUUUAGAUGCUUUGGGGAUAUGGAUGCCAAAUUCUCAUUAAUCUGAAUGGGAACUGGACAGUCAAAUCUCUUAGGCAGCAUCGAGAAUCUUAGCUAAAGUGAUGGUUUCAACUCUAUGUAACAAAAUGCUGACACUGACAUUGUAAUGUAUUUCUUACCCUGGAACAUUAGCAGAUGGAUGGGUGAGGUGUGUACAAAGCAAUUAUACCUAGUUAGCAGUAAUGAAUUCCACUGUUACACUCCAUUUUUUUCUGUCACAUUUUGGCUGAGGAGGUUGAGAUUUAGGAAACAUACAUAACACAUAAGUACCAUACAUCAUAGAGGUGUGUUUCUACAUGCCGAUGAGCACCGAAUGAAGAAGGAUUGCCUCCUUAUCAUUGAAUGUAUCACAGAUAAGUAGAUACAGCACUUGAAGAAAUGUAAACUAUUGCCUGUGCGGCUUUCAUAAACAAAAGCUCUGCCUACAGCUUCAAGGAUAUAAAGUGAAAAGUCCCCUGAGGCAGUCUCUCUGUCUAUGUAAUAAUUAAGAAAAGAAGCUGUAGAAAGUUAUACACAACCUUUAUUAACCUAUUUUUGUUUGGAUUUUGGUGACCAUUUGGCCUUCCUUCUGCCAUCAGUCUGUAUUUCACAGCAGAAGAAUGAAAGAUUGUGAUGUGUCAUUGGGAAAAAAACACUGUAAAAACAAACAGACGUUCCUACAAAUCAUUACAAAAAGAUAAAGAAAAGUUGUGGACAUGACAAAGACUGAAGAGCUGUGGGCAAGGGGGAGACAUAGGCGGAGUUCUGAUUGCUCAAAGGCAGACUCACAUCCAUCCUGCCACUCUGCAGAUGUCCCUCAGUUGAUGAUGCAGGGAGUUUGAAGUCUGGGAUUACUCGAACAAUCAUACUUCACCAAAAAUAGCUCCCGUGAGUGCCAGGGAUAAUGGAGUUAACACAGCACAUGGUUUAAUGACUAAUGUAUGCAGUGUGGAAUACUUUGCAUGUUCCCUGAAGCCUCAAAAGUAUGUUACAGCAGCUCUCCAGAAGAAACCUUACGGCCACAAGUUGAUCUGUGAUUUCUACCACUCCUGCUAUCCUUAGGCUGCCUGACAAAUGAAGAGAAUUAGUUUUGGCUGCUACCCAGCUCAUUGAGGAUGUUAUGGCCAGAGAAUCUUCUGAGAAAUAAAGUGGAUUUCACCGUCUUUUUUGGCUGAUCUUUGCAUCAACCCAUUGACUCAGUUUAUGGAGUCUUAUAGAGAUUAUAAUUCAAGUCUUGGAGCCAUUUCAGGAUCCAGUCCCUGAAACCAGCUCUAGCCAGGCCUACAUUUCUGUGGUGAACCUCUGGUCUGAACUGAUGGACUUUCUAACAGUAAAUUGUGGAAUGAAGGUGUCAGAAUAAAGCCUUUGGAAUCUAUUGCAGACUAAUCCAAUCAUGCUAAAACAAAGCAGGGAAAUACAGUCGCCUAUAUUGCUGGGCCCCCAUUUAAGAUACUUCAUUUCUGAGACACACCAUGCUGCUGUGAAGGCUGCCACGCUGAAGCUAGCAGAAGAAAACAUGAACAGAAAAAUCAAGAACUGCAAAGUGUAGAAUAAAAAGUGGGUGUGAGGCAGAGAAUGUUAUAAAAGCUACAGUACAUUGCCAGUUGCUACAUUGAUUCUCUGACUCUGGUUAAUCACAAUAGCAUGGAGAGGGAGCUUUCCCUGUAUGUAUCUGACUCAUCUGUGCUCCAAAAAGUUCAUGGUAUAGACCGGUGAAAACAAAAUGCAAUCAGAUUUCCAUGUCUUUCUCCUUCUAUGAUGCCUUUCCUGGGAGCUCUGUCCAGCUGUAUACUGGCUGAGUGGCUGAUCAGCAAUAAUGAAUAUAUUGCUACUCUAGUCACAGGUACUAAACUUUGUCCUCUA